GUUAAGUAAGGGCGUAUGGCGGAUGCCUAGGCUCUCAGAGGCGAUGAAGGACGUGAUAAGCUGCGAAAAGCUGCGGGGAUCGGCACACACGAUAUGAUCCGCAGGUAUCCGAAUGGGGCAACCCACUAUACUGAAGGUAUAGUAUCCGCAAGGAGGCAAACCCGGGGAACUGAAACAUCUAAGUACCCGGAGGAAAAGAAAUCAAACGAGAUUCCCCAAGUAGCGGCGAGCGAAAGGGGAGCAGCCCUUAAGCUGCUUUGUAGGUAGGAGAAGGCUCUGGAAAGUGCCGCCAUAGUGGGUGAUAGCCCCGUAUCUAAAACCUUAUAAGCAGUGAAAUCGAGUAGGUCGGAGCACGAGAAACUUUGACUGAAUAUGGGGGGACCAUCCUCCAAGGCUAAAUACUCCUAGUUGACCGAUAGUGAACCAGUACCGUGAGGGAAAGGCGAAAAGAACCCCUGAGAGGGGAGUGAAAUAGAUCCUGAAACCGUAUGCGUACAAGCAGUCGGAGCGGACUUGUUCCGUGACGGCGUACCUUUUGUAUAAUGGGUCAACGACUUAGUGCAGCAAGCAAGCUUAAGCCGAUAGGUGUAGGCGCAGCGAAAGCGAGUCUUAAUAGGGCGUUGAGUUUGUGGGAUCAGACCCGAAACCGAGUGAUCUA
rnacentral:rRNA from 1 species